AUUGAACGCUGGCGGCAUGCCUUACACAUGCAAGUCGAACGGCAGCACGGGGCAACCCUGGUGGCGAGUGGCGGACGGGUGAGUAAAGCAUCGGAACGUAUCCUGGAGUGGGGGGAUAACGUAGCGAAAGUUACGCUAAUACCGCAUAUUCUGUGAGCAGGAAAGCAGGGGAUCGCAAGACCUUGCGCUCUGGGAGCGGCCGAUGUCGGAUUAGCUAGUUGGUGGGGUAAAGGCCUACCAAGGCGACGAUCCGUAGCGGGUCUGAGAGGAUGAUCCGCCACACUGGGACUGAGACACGGCCCAGACUCCUACGGGAGGCAGCAGUGGGGAAUAUUGGGCAAUGGGGGAAACCCUGACCCAGCAACGCCGCGUGAGGGAAGAAGGCCUUGGUUGGUAACCUACUGUCAUAUGAGAAGAAGGAA
rnacentral:rRNA from 1 species